rnacentral:rRNA from 1 species
GGCGAAAGCCGGAUUAAUACCGCAUACGCUCUACGGAGGAAAGGGGGGGAUCUUAGGACCUCUCGCUACAGGGGCGGCCGAUGGCAGAUUAGCUAGUUGGUGGGGUAAAGGCCUACCAAGGCGACGAUCUGUAGCUGGUCUGAGAGGACGACCAGCCACACUGGGACUGAGACACGGCCCAGACUCCUACGGGAGGCAGCAGUGGGGAAUUUUGGACAAUGGGGGCAACCCUGAUCCAGCAAUGCCGCGUGUGUGAAGAAGGCCUUCGGGUUGUAAAGCACUUUUGUCCGGAAAGAAAACUUCGGCCCUAAUACGGCGGGAGGAUGACGGUACCGGAAGAAUAAGCACCGGCUAACUACGUGCCAGCAGCCGCGGUAAUACGUAGGGUGCAAGCGUUAAUCGGAAUUACUGGGCGUAAAGCGUGCGCAGGCGGUUCGCUAAGACAGAUGUGAAAUCCCCGGGCUUAACCUGGGAACUGCAUUUGUGACUGGCGGGCUAGAGUAUGGCAGAGGGGGGUAGAAUUCCACGUGUAGCAGUGAAAUGCGUAGAGAUGUG